rnacentral:lncRNA from 1 species
AUAAAAGUAACAGGUUUCUUCCCCCAUGUAAUUAAAGUGGCAAAGGAGAAUAACACCACCAUACUUGCCAUUUAUUUGAAAAUCUGCCAAACAAUUUGAGCCCCUUUUUCUUUGACUUUUUUUUUUUUAACUAACCUACAACAACUACUGUGGUUACUGAAUCUCUGGACACUUAAGCUCUUAUCUAUCUAUCCAUCUAUCCAUCUAUCAUCUGUCUAUCACCUGACAGAGUCUCUUGUAGCUUAUUUGGUCUCAAACACCCUUUGUAGCUGAUGAUAGCUUUGCCUUGAACUUGUCUUGUUUGUUUUGUUUUGUUUUUAAUUCUCUGGCCUGGACAGAUGGCUCAGCAGUUAAGAGCAUCUGGCUGCUCUUCUAGGACCCUAAUCCAGUGCCUAGCACCCACAUGGUGACUUAAAACCAUUUAUAACUCCAGAUCCAGGGGAUCCAAUAGCCUCCACUGGCAAGAAGUGUGCAAGUGGUACACAGACAUAUACACAGGCAAAAAAAUUCAUACACAUACAAUAAAAUUUUUAAAUAUUAUUUAUUCUUUGGCCAUGUCAUACAUUUUAUACAUGUUUUGAUAUUUAUAGACACCUCAUUACUCCCUUCUGAGCCCCUUCCUCUCAACAAGGGCCCCUUCUACUUUGGUGUUUGCUUUUUAAUAACCCACUGUGUUUAAUUAAGGUUGCUUACAUGUGCAUGCGUGUGAGAUUAUUUACUUGAACAUGGGCAUUUUUUCAAUGGCUUCUGAAGAAAAAUGACUCCCCCCCUUCUUCAGCAGGCAUUAACUGCCAGGAGCUCCACAGCUAGGGCCUCAUGAGCUCCUCCCACCUCCAUUGUAGAGCUAACCACAGCUGCUGUGAAUUCAUGAGUGCAGUGGAUGUGUUCUAUCCAGAAGACAGUGUUCACAGUAUCCCUCCCCUUCCUCUGGCUCUUACAUUACUUCUGUCCUGUCUUCUUUGAUGUUCCCUGAGUCUUAGAGAAGGAGUGGGAAGUUGUUUUAUAAAUAUCCCAUUUAGGGCUGACUAGUCAACAUCCACUUAUACUAAACACUUUGACCAGUUAUGAGUCUGCAUUCACUGCUGCUUACUACAGAAGGAAGCUUCUCUAAUGAAGGUUGAGGACAACAUAAAUCUAAGGAGAUAAGCAUAAAUAUUUAGAAAACAGUUUGCUGCCAUAUACCCUCUAGGACUUGUGACCUCCCCAGCUUUUGACUAAAUUUACAGUCCCAAGCAUGAAUUAAUUCCCUUUUGUAGAAUAAGCCUAAAUCCAACCCGAAAGUGGCUGGUUAUCCCCAUAGCAGUCAUACCAUUGCUAUACCAGUUACAUAUCUUGCCUAGCAGGUUGGCUUCUGCUUCUGCUCAUCUUUCUUCCAUCUUCCUAGGAUUACAGACAUAAGCCACCCACUACACCUGUUUGUGUGGUUCGAGGGACUAAAUUAAGGAUUUUGUACAUGGUAGGCAAAUGUUCUACCAGUUAAGAGACAUAAAAACAAAUUGCUGUAUUUGAAACUGAGAAAUUAAUUUUGUGUGUAGAGGGAGUUUGGAGGGAGUCUUUGUAAGAUUGAGACGGCCAUGUAAACACUAGCUUUAGAGAAUAAAGUCUUUGUCUUACUUUUCAAUUGCUGUGAUAAAAUACCAUGACCAGGGCAACUUAUAAAAGAAGCAUUUAGAUGGGUUUCAGAGGGUUAGAGUCCUUGAUGGUGAAAUGAAGGACAGCAGCAGGAACAGCCAAGUGUUCACACCUCAAUCUUCAUAAGCAGAAGCUGAGAGAACUCAGGAAUGGAAUAAGAAUAGUGUGGGCCCCCGGUGGCACACCUCCUCCAAGGCCACACCUCCUAAUCCUUUCUAGACAAUUCCAUCAGCUAGAGGCCAUGUAUUCAAACAUAUCCUGAGGUGGAGUGGGUGGCAGUCUCAGAUGACCACAAGCUAGCUCGCUCUCUCUCUCUCUCUCUCUCUCUCUCUCUCUCUCUAUCUAUCUAUCUAUCUAUUGCCUUCAUUUGUAUAGCAAUCAGUUGUGUGAACACUCAAAGAUGCUCUCUACUGAGUUCAUUCUCUGCUCAGCAUAUUCCAAGCUUCUGUGUUUUGAAGAUAUGUUCACAGUUUUGUUUUCCAUAGUGAGGUUUUCAGCAGCUUAGGCUAAGCACAGUAUACUAGAUUUUCCAAGCUUUAAUGUUAAAAUAGCACUUUAUCUUUGUCCUUUCCACCCAUUUGUUAGAUACUGGGAUUUACUGUGUGACAAAUUAAAAAAUGAAAUACUUGUUGGCUUUUCUGAGGACUGUGGACCUUAUAACAUCCUAACAAAAAGUUGGCAUUAGAAAAGAUUGAAAAUAAGAUGAAUAAUGUCAGUAAGAACUUUUAAAGUAUUAUUAUUUUGAUCU